CCCGCCCAGAGGCUGGCGAGGCCGGGGGCGGGCCGGGGGCGGGCCUCGCGGCGCGGUCGGGCGGGGUUAAAGGGCCCGGCCGCCGGACGGCGCGGUCAGAACCGAGGUUGCGGUGCGGGCCGAUCUGGAUCCCGGAUCGAGAGGCCGAGGCCGAGGCCGAGACCCGCGAGGUGAGUGCGCGCGGGGGGUGGUAACCCGAGCGCGGCCGGGGCGCUGCGCUGUAACCCGAGGCGCCCGGCAGGCGCGGGUGCUGGCAGCGGGGACGCGAGGGGCUGGGCGCAGCCCGCCUCGGGAAUCCCCACGACCCAGGCGGCGGCGGCGGCGGCGGCGGGUCCCAGAGGCUCCUCCUGGAGGGACGUGGGCGUGUCCCCGACGGCCGCCGCUUUGGGGCGCAGUUGUUUUGAGCGCGCCCCUCGGAGUCCUGGGUACAUCCUUCUCCCCGGGUUUCCGUGAUGGGAAGGGACCUCAGGAACAGCCCCCUCCCCAUCAGGACCUCUCGGGCGGAUCCAGGCCCUGCCCUGUGCCGCAGGGCGGACCGGAGUCACUCCACAGCGUCUCCCUCAGGGACUUUACGCUAGUGAUCCGGCUGCCUUCACCGUCCCUCUCCCCACCCAGGGCAGGCACAGAGCCUGAAAAGAGGAGAUGCCCUCCUGGGCCCCCAGAGUUGGCUGUGAGGGUUGUGUGAGGUCCCGCGGUUGGUACCAGCUGACGUUUGUUGGAUGCCGGAGGGAUGUAUGCUCCCUGGUGUCCAAGGGGCUGGCCCUCCCCGCUUGGACCACGUGAGGCGGCUGAGACCUGCCAACUGGGGAGUCUCAGGCUGGAGGUGGGAGGGAGACAGGGAGACAGUGGGGGAGCUGGGAUUUGAACAAACCGGCCCUGUGUGACCCCAACAUCCUGUGCACUUUCCAAUGGCCCCGGCCUCUCUGCAUAGCCCAGCUUGGGUUUCUGAGCGGUAACAUUAGCCCUGGACUGGUGUCCAGUGGUGACCUGGGUUGGUAUCCACAGAGGGGCUUGGAUGACUCCGCAGACGGAGAAGGCAGCCCCCUCCUGCCUCCCUGGCAAGCCUGGGACCCCAUUCUCCAAAUCCCAGAUGACUGGGCAAGCACUAACGGAUAUGGUGCCAGCCCCAACAGCAAGGAGAGGCACCUUUGAUCGGGGGCUUGCCGUGUGCCAAGCCCUGAGCUGAGCACAUUAAAAAUGUGGCAUUGUUAUCAAAGCCCUGUGAAGUGGGUAAUAUAGUUCCUGUCUUACAUGUGAGGAAAUUGAGGCUCAGAGAGGUGCAGACAUUCACCUGAGGUCACACAGCUCUGAGGUGGAGCUUUGUGGAAUCCUUUCCGAGGCUCGUGUCCAAGUGCUGAGAUGGUGGGCAGAGGCAAUUGCAGUUCUGGGAUGGUCUAGAUUACUGGUGGUUUGUAAACUUCUUUUUCUGUCAGGAUCUCCUUUGGGCCGAGGAAGCUGUGGGCGACAGCCUACAGUGUGCCCACAGCUGCGGUGAGGCCCUCCUUCCCACCUCGAUUUGCCAGCUUGGCUCUGCCCUCAGAACUGCUCCUGCAGCCCCUUCUCCGAACCCCAGAAAUCUGGGGUAAUCUCUACACCCAACGUGGGGCUCAAACUCACAACCCUGAGAUCAAGAGUCGCAUGCUCUACCCACUGAGCUGGCCAGGCAACCCUCAAACAAUUAACUUUUUUAUUUAUUAAAAAAAUUGUUUUAAAUGUU